rnacentral:rRNA from 1 species
UACGGGGGGGGUAAGCGUUGUUCGGAAUUACUGGGCGUAAAGGGCUCGUAGGCGGCCAACUAAGUCAUACGUGAAAUCCCUCAGCUUAACUGGGGAACUGCGUGUGAUACUGGAUGGCUUGGAUUUGGGAGAGGGAUGCGGAAUUCCAGGUGUAGCGGUGAAAUGCGUAGAUAUCUGAAGGAACAUCAGUGGCGAAAGCGACUUCCUGGACCAAUACUGACGCUCAUGUGCGAAAGCGUGGGGAGCAAACAGG